CCUACGGGUGGCAGCAGUGGGGAAUAUUGGGCAAUGGACGCAAGUCUGACCCAGCAACGCCGCGUGAAGGAAGAAGGCUUUCUGGUUGUAAACUUCUUUUAAGGGGGAAGAGCAGCAGACUGUACCCCUUGAAUCAGCCACGGCUAACUACGUGCCAGCAGCCGCGGUAAUACGGAGGAUGCGAGCGUUAUCCGGAUUCAUUGGGUUUAAAGGGUGCGCAGGCGGGCCUUUAAGCCGGCGGUGAAAUCGCGGGGCUCAACCCCGCCGAGCCGUCGGAACUGGGGGCCUUGAGUGCGGCGGAGGCAGGCGGAAUGCGCGGUGUAGCGGUGAAAUGCAUAGAUAUCGCGCAGAACCCCGAUUGCGAAGGCAGCGUGCCGUGCCGCCACUGACGCUGAGGCACGAAAGCGCGGGGAUCGAACAGGAUUAGAUACCCUAGUAGUC
rnacentral:rRNA from 1 species